rnacentral:rRNA from 1 species
GACGGAAGGUGCAAGCGUUGUUCGGAAUUACUGGGCGUAAAGGGCGCGUAGGCGGCGUGUCAAGUCAGGCGUGAAAGCCCCGGGCUCAACCUGGGAACCGCGCUUGAGACUGGCAUGCUCGAGUUCGGGAGAGGAUGGUGGAAUUCCCAGUGUAGAGGUGAAAUUCGUAGAUAUUGGGAAGAACACCGAUGGCGAAGGCAGCCAUCUGGACCGACACUGACGCUAAGGCGCGAAAGCGUGGGGAGCAAACAGGG